GGUGCGCGGGACCCCAGUGCGGCUGCGCGGGCCGGGGCCUAUUUCUAUGCGGCCGAUCCGCUCCCGGCCCGUUCCAUUCGGGAACACUCGUGCUGGGAUGCGGCGGGAUCCUCGUCGGAGCGCUGUGCCAGGGACAGCUCCCGGUUCUGCGCGAAUCCUGGGGCGCUCAGGUCACAGGAUAUACUGGGAUUGAGAGGGUUCCUGAAAUCCGACUCUCGAGGACACGGCCCGUGGGAGAUUUGAACUCACAACCUUGGCACUACCUGGACUGUGCUCCGACUGACUGAGCCCUCUGCAUCCCAGCUGCGAGGGGCAGGAGGAGGCCAGGAGUCCCUGAAAGGCAUCCGGCACCUCUUGUCCUUGGGCCCUCGGGGCAGGGGCUGUGCCUGCAGCGUCCUGCCCGUGCCGAGCGCACGGCCCGGGAUGGGCGCUGGGUGCCCGGCCGGCACUGGCACGGACACGGCUCAAGGGCUGCCCGUGGCUCCCGGGCCAGGGGCUGCUCUGAGCAGGCUCCUGGAGAUGCUUCAGCCUGGAUACAGGCCACUGACAGCCCAAAAGCAGCCCAAGGAGCAGCUGGCGUGUGCUGGUGAUGGUGGCACGGGCUGCGUGCAGAGGGGCUCAGACAGCAAUUCCUGGUUCCAGCCUCCCAGAGCUCCCAGGCAGCUGCCAGCUAUUAAAUGCCAACCGACAGCCUGCAGAGAUGCCUUCAAAUCAAAGGUUCAGGUGGGAUGAAGUUUUGUUUGGACGAAGGUGGGAGUUUCCAGGGAGCCAGCUGGAAGUGCAGAAGGGAUGGAAAGCUUUCCCAGGUGCUGGACUUGCCUCUGUGGAUGUGUGCUGAGCUCUCACUACAGGGGACUGUGAGGCCUGACUGGCUUGAGAAGAACACCAACUUGCAGGCAUCAAAAGCUCCAAACUCGUUUAAUUGAGCUUGAAGAAACUUGAAGAAGGAAUUUGGAUGUAUAAAAACAAGCUGAGAAGAGCAUCAGUGUGUUCACUGGCAGCACGGGCUGGGAUGAGGGCUGAGCAGGACCCAAGCUGCAGCACAUCAUCCAUUCAGCUUUCACCACCUGUUUUAUCACGGCC